GGCUCGAUAAGUCAGAUGUGAAAUCCCCGGGCUCAACCUGGGAACUGCAUCUGAUACUCGUUGAGCUAGAGUAUGUGAGAGGAAGGUAGAAUUCCAGGUGUAGCGGUGAAAUGCGUAGAGAUCUGGAGGAAUACCGAUGGCGAAGGCAGCCUUCUGGCAUAAUACUGACACUGAGGCUCGAAAGCGUGGGUAGCAAACAGGAUUAGAUACCCUGGUAGUCCACGCCGUAAACGAUGUCUACUAGUCGUUGGGUCCCUUGAGGACUUAGUGACGCAGCUAACGCAAUAAGUAGACCGCCUGGGGAGUACGGCCGCAAGGUUAAAACUCAAAUGAAUUGACGGGGGCCCGCACAAGCGGUGGAGCAUGUGGUUUAAUUCGAUGCAACGCGAAGAACCUUACCUGGUCUUGACAUAUCUAGAAUCCUGCAGAGAUGCGGGAGUGCCUUCGGGAAUUAGAAUACAGGUGCUGCAUGGCUGUCGUCAGCUCGUGUCGUGAGAUGUUGGGUUAAGUCCCGCAACGAGCGCAACCGUUGUCCUUAGUUACCAGCGGGUUAAGCCGGGAACUCUAAGGAUACUGCCAGUGACAAACUGGAGGAAGGCGGGGACGACGUCAAGUCAUCAUGGCCCUUACGACCAGGGCUACACACGUGCUACAAUGGUAGGUACAGAGGGCAGCUACACAGCGAUGUGAUGCGAAUCUCAAAAAGCCUAUCGUAGUCCAGAUUGGAGUCUGCAACUCGACUCCAUGAAGUAGGAAUC
rnacentral:rRNA from 1 species